CAGGAGUGGGUGGGUGAGAUUUUGUGGCCUGCAAUGUGCAGGAGGUCAGACUAGAUUAUCAUGAUGGUCCCUUCUGACCUUGAAAUCUAUUCAAGUACUCACAGUGAGUUCAUUUGUGUGACUCAUGGUGAGUAAAGGUGCAGAUUGGGCCCAAAUUAGUAUUGCAGUUUUAAAGAAAAUAAGUAUUUGAAUCCAGAUAUAGGCUAAAUAUAUACAGUAGAUGACAACGUUGAUCAUAUACAUUAGCAAUAUAGUCGUAGGCCAUGGAACGUGAGAACAGUUCCUCCUACCUUCCCACCUAUCAACAAUCCUUUGAGAUUGUCCUGAAUCAAAAUCCUGGAUCCAAAUAACCUCAAACUCUGCAGGAGUACAGAAUCUGAACCCUGAAUCCAGGUCUAAAUUUUCAAAUGGGGACCCUGUCUUCAUAAUGGUCAAGUCAAAGACCCAGAUCUUAAUCAAUGUCAUAUUUUGAGGGUAGUUGGAUGUGAUUCAAAAUCCAGGUCCUUAUCAAAAUUUUGCUUUGUCUGCCAUUAUGCUACCCAUUCACUUAGUUUUAUUAGGUCCCUGCUGGACUAAAGUGUUAAUUGUUAAUGCCAGCUCAGUGCAGUGAAUGAGAUUAUUAUGCAUGUCUGCAAAAUAGGAUAUGAUUGGGUUUGGACAUUUUUAAGAUGCUAGGAAAGAAGAAAGAACUGUACCCUGAGCCAAAGUCACCACUACUGAACCCUAUUUUAAACAAAAUAAGUAUUAAACAUUUUUUUAAAACAUGUUCAGUUAUUGCAAUCCUCUUUUUACUUCUUGAAUUAUAUGUGGUUACAUACACACAAACACUCACCCAGAGACAGAAACUUCUGUGGGUAUAAAUAUUUCAUUUCACAGCUAAGUUGCUGUGCUGCUUAUACUGCCCUACUGUACGUUUCAGCAAUUUUUCACUCAAGUGGACAGCAUGCAAUUUUCAACUUUCUCAGGGCAGCAGUAAUUUGUACUCCCCCUUUUUUAUGAUUUGUUCAAAGCCUUUUUGAUGAAUAUGCCCAUUAUUCAUCUUAGAGCUAGAUUGGACCAUUUAGCAGCCUAACUUUCUUCCCUUUUUGGAGUUGUACAUCUCUUAGGAGCUUAAAAGUGAAGAAGAGUUCACCGCAUUAGCCACAUUUGGGAGUGGAAACACAACUUUAAUGGAUGUCACACAAAAAAAGGAGAGAAGGUGAACGAGGAAGAAUAGAAGCUUAGGAUGGAUAUCUUAAAGAUCAAGUAUGAAUGUGGAAAGCCCUGUUUAGUACAUGGAAGCUCGUGGCAUUUUGACAUAGAAGAACAAAAUCUGUUGUAAAUCUCUAAGGAGGAUCUUCCUUUUUGUGACUGAGUGACUAUUGUUUCCAAGCCUUCAAAUGUUAUCAAACAGCCCACAGUUCAUCAAUAGAAAUACAGUAUAAGCAUUUUUGUGGGCCAGAUCCUUGCCUGGAGUAAAUCAAUGUAGCUCUAUCAGUUUAAAUUGAGCUAUUCUGUGUCAUACCAGCUGAGGAUAUUGACUUGUGUGAUCUGAGGUAAACAUGUUCAUGAAGGCAAUUUUUUCCUUGGCUCCAGAAUGCCGUUUAGAGCUGGAGCAAGAACAGAAACGAACUGUCUGAAAGUUCUAAGUCAAAACUUAAAAUUUAGAAAGAAGUUCUUUUGAAAAAUAGAGCCAGACUCUCUGCUGGAAUAAAUUGGCAUAGUUCCACUGAAGUAAAUGGAAAUGGUGGCAUGUUUCACAGCAAACAAUUGUAAUCAAUGACGCUAAUCAAUCUAUACCAACUGAGGAUCUGACCCUUUAUAUUUAUAAUAAUAUAUUAGACUUCUUUUUUGUUUCAGUAUUUAAAGUUUCCUCUCCCUUGUUUAUUUCCUACAAAAAUGGAGCUGGUCAAAUAGUACAAAUUUGUGAAUAUUUGCAUGCUGAGUUUGGUCUGCUAUGGUUCAUGGAAUCCCAUUAUAUGUCAUUCGUGACUAUUCCAAUGUGCGCUGUGUAUUAUAACAAUAUCAUAAAUAUGGAAAUGUUUGAAAAUUCUAGUAUGCAUAAUUGAUAAGUUGUCUGAAAAUUUGUACCAGAAGUUAAUUCUUCCUUAUUCUGUCUUUGAUAUUCCCCUGUUUCCAAAGUUUACAAAGUUUUAAUCAUCCAAUCAAGGAUUGGACCCAAUCCUCCAUUUUUGUACAAAAGUAGCAAGUUCUGCAAUGGUUUAUUCUUACAUACUUUGACCAGUUCAUUGAAGUCCCAGGUCUCAGCAGAUGCUAUUGUUAUUAAUAGGAAUUGAUGGUUGCUGAGCAUUUUUGAAAAUCUCACUACUUAAUUUAGGUACCAAAAUGUGAGCUGAGCUCUCUCGAUAAUCUGGCCUCUGUUGUGGGUGCUAGAUCCUAAAUUUAAUGGUAAUGUGGUCAAACACUGGGAAAAGUUUUCUGAAUAAAUUAUUCUGAAUUGUUUGAAGCCAGCAAAAAUUGUUUAUUUGGAUAUUAUUUAACUAUCUACAGAGUUGGUUGAAUAGUGGAAACAGGUAUAUAAGGAUAGAUUAUUCAACAAUUGAUGUAAAAAUAAUCAGACUAUUUGUGAGUGCUUUUUGACCAGUUCUAUUAGUUGUACAGUUUACACAGUACACCAUUAAAAAUUACAAGGAUAUUUA